rnacentral:rRNA from 1 species
CCUACGGGUGGCAGCAGUGAGGAAUAUUGGUCAAUGGACGAGAGUCUGAACCAGCCAAGUAGCGUGAAGGAUGACUGCCCUAUGGGUUGUAAACUUCUUUUAUAUGGGAAUAAAAUGUUCCACGUGUGGGAUUUUGUAUGUACCAUAUGAAUAAGGAUCGGCUAACUCCGUGCCAGCAGCCGCGGUAAUACGGAGGAUCCGAGCGUUAUCCGGAUUUAUUGGGUUUAAAGGGAGCGUAGGUGGAUUGUUAAGUCAGUUGUGAAAGUUUGCGGCUCAACCGUAAAAUUGCAGUUGAAACUGGCAGUCUUGAGUACAGUAGAGGUGGGCUGAAUUCGUGGUGUAGCGGUGAAAUGCUUAGAUAUCACGAAGAACUCCGAUUGCGAAGGCAGUUCACUGGACUGCAACUGACACUGAGGCUCGAAAGUGUGGGUAUCAAACAGGAUUAGAUACCCUAGUAGUC